GUGUAUGAUCAUGGGGGCGUCGGCGUCGUCUGUGUGGUACAAUUUGCGGGUGUCACACCCGACGAAGGAAGUGCCGAUUAUUGAUUAUGAUCUCGCGUUGUUGUUUCAGCCGAUGUUGAUGUUGGGGAUCACGUUGGGGGUUGCGCUGAGUGUGGUUUUUCCGUACUGGCUGAUUACAGUGCUAAUUAUUGUACUGUUUUUAGCGACUU
rnacentral:misc_RNA from 1 species